rnacentral:lncRNA from 1 species
AGGGCCGGACUGGGAAAAAAAUUUGGCCCGGGCAUUUUUUUAUCACAGCGGCCCACUAAGAAGGGGGCGGGGCAGAGAGGGUGUGUUUUGUCAUCACUCAUGACAAACACGCCCCCUCUCAAAGUGAGCAUGUUAGUUCAAUGCUCUUCCAGGGCAGACCAUGCGCAGAGCUCUGCUGAAGAGCUCUAGCAUGAGAAAAAAGCCCUGUAUUUGUUCUGCGCAGUGCAAGCAAAUUUAAUAAC